UGCAGAAUCCCGUGAAUCAUCGAGUCUUUGAACGCAAGUUGCGCCCGAGGCCUCGGCCGAGGGCACGUCUGCCUGGGCGACGCAG
rnacentral:rRNA from 1 species